rnacentral:other from 1 species
UAGGUCCUGGUGUGUUCGUUCUAAUACCUUAUCGUUUUGACCGACAAGUUAUAAUUACGGGAGUCUGUUUGUCUACAUUCCAAGUAUAAGCCUCCGGUUGAGUGGACAUAUAAGGUUUGUAGCAGGACACCCACCUGCCAAGAGCGGGUUCAAAACAAAGGCUUGAAAAGACGGCACAAUCGGGACUUAU